UUGGGUAGUGAGGAUUAGAACGAAUGCCCAAUAAAGGUAUCUCCUCUCUCUCUCUGCUUCCUUUCCAGCCUUUUGAAGUCUGAACUCUGGCUGACAGAACGGAAGAGGUAGGUGUGUUCUGUGAACACGUGACACUGCAUUGUUAGUUCCUGCCUGGCCUUGACCCCAACACGUUCUCUGCUUACCUGGACCAGGGGCAGCAGAAGAUCUUCCUGCUAUAAUGCCGGGUCCCAGUACCCACACUGGGGCCUGUGGUGCCCAAGGUGUCUCCUGCUAGGCCUAGGCCUGAGAGUUAAGAGAGGACACAGCAACCAGACUUGAGGAGAGACUAUGAAAAGCCUCUCAGAGAACGCUGCUCUGCUCACCACCCACCAUAUUGCAUGUGAAGAUGCUGAGAGCUACAGGGGGUCUUAAGGUCACACAGGGAGCAAGCAGAUCAACCAAGACUGGUGCCCAUGCCAUCGGACUCCAUUCCUUCCCAGUCUAGAAUUCUUCACCUAAUGUGUGCUCUUCCUUCUGUCAGAAAUCCCACCUUAGGACGUGCAGUGUAUUUCAAGGAGCCAGCAAAACCCUUACAGAACUGAUGGAAAGGGACAAACAGCAUGGAAUUAGGGCUACCCAAAUGUAGUGCAUGGUACACAAAAAUUCUUCCGGUGACUCUAUUUGGGGAUGAGGGCAAGGAGAAGGAGGAGAGGUUGGCUUUUAGCUUCACAUUGUCCCUGUGCACUCCAGGACCUGCCAUCUGCCCCAUGAAAGGCCCCAGUGUUCAGAUGCUGCUGCUGAAAUUCCCCUUAGCAUCCAGAGUGGGCCCAGGCUCAUGGUGCCCUGUGUUCUAGGAGCCACAAGACUUCACAAACUCACCCUUGCAUUUGCUACAUUCUUAGCAGGGCCCUGGAACAAAGGAGACGCUUAAUAAAAACAGUUGACAUUUAUUAAGCUCUUACUAUUAUGUGCCUGACUUAGGUUACCUUUUAUAAUUUCUCAGAAAUCCUAUGAGGCAGGUAUGCAAAUCUAUAUUUUGCAGAUAAGGAAACUGAGUCAUAGACUAAGUAAUUUCCCCAGGCUUGUAGAUCUGGGAUUUGAAACCGGGUUCUUAGACUCGAGGGCUAGUCCUUUAACUACACCCUUUACUGCCUCCAAAAAUUAUGCUGAAUGAAUCAGACUUGCUCUUAUGUCCUGUCAGGAGAUAUUUUUCUCUGAUAAAAUAGGGAUGGGAGGUGUGUGUUGAGGGAGAUUUCUAGCUUGUCAUUCCUUACGGGCCAUCAGGUUGGUGAGGAUUAGAGCCAAAAAUGUUUGGGGAAGAGAAAAAUGGAACCACAUGAUCUGUUCCUGAAUUCUCCAACAGAUCCCUUUGGUCCCAACCUCCAAGUGAGAUUCAUUAUAUUCUCUCCUGCUCUACACACUAGUUUCUCUAGUUUGGAGUCAUAAACACUGGUGUAUGCAAAUUAGGCAUCAGAGAAAAGAGAAGGGCUCUCAUUUGCCACAGUUGGAGUAACCACUAGAAAGAUGGCAGAACCUGUAAAAGAAGACGGCAUAACAGUGACAGUAAUGGUGGGCCUGUUGUUCUCUAAUGCCCAUUCUCCCUUGUUCCAAGGUUAAAGAACUCCUAAUUUGUAGUUUUAUACAUGGUUGUCCAGAAUCAAAGCUAUAUUUUCCAGACUGUUUUCAAAUUAGUUGUGGCCAUAUGAUUACGUUCCGGUGAGUAAGAUUUAAGUGGAAGUGUCAUCCGACAACUUCUGGGAGACUUCCUUAAGGGGGAGCUGAGACAUUCUCUCCCUUCUUCUUCAUCCUUUUUUUUAUUCCUGUUGGGUGAAAUGCAAAUAGGAUGGCAGGAUAGGGCAGCCAUCUUGGGCCAUGAGGCAGGUAUAGCAACAUCUGUACUUUUCAGAUAAGAAAACUGAGAAUGCAAUGGAAGCAACAAGCUAGAAGGAACUUGACUCCCUGAGGUCUUCAUGAAACAGUGUCAUUAUACGAGCUCCAGACUGCUUACUUCUGGACUUCACUGCACAAGAAAAUUAAACUUCUAUCAUAUUUAAGGAAUGUUAUUUUGGGACUCUGUUAUUUAUACCAAUUAAUAUACCUCAUCAUGGCUUCUUGGAAAGAUUUCAGAAUUGGUAAUAAGAUUUGUUUUAUUUCCAUCUUUUCCCCUAACAUAUAUGCUUCUAAAUUCUCUUGUUCCCAAUAUAGAAAUUAGAACUAGAUAUAUCUCCCUCACAUGCAUUGAUUUUUAUAUCAUAGUAAAAUACAUUGCAUAGAAAGGAGAAUACAGAUUUGAGGAGUGGAUGCAAAAAAGUCUGAGGGGAUCUGAUUACACUGGUAUAUUUUGGCUUUAGGCUAUAGGGGGAAGAGAUCCUGCUUAAUUAAUUGAUGUAAGCACAAAACAGAGACAGGAU